rnacentral:rRNA from 1 species
GAUGUUAAAGAUUAAGCCAUGCAUGUGUAAGUAUAAAGACCAAGAAGGAUGAAACUGCGAACGGCUCAUUACAACAGUUAUAAUUUCUUUGAUUAGUAAAAUAUAAGGAAUACCUUUGUGAAUAAUAAAGAUAAUACUUGAAACGAUCCUAAUUGAAUCAAAUCAAUUAGGCAUAACUAUCAACCGAUAGUUAUAGGAAAGAAGUUUAUUAAGAAAAAGAACAAAUUUUACAAUUGUAGAAAUCGUAAGAUUUUAACAAGUAAUCAAUGAAAAUAUCUGAUCUAUCAACUAGUUGGUAGUAUAGAGGACUACCAAGGUUAUAACGGAUAACGAGAAAUUAGGGUUUGACAUCGGAGAAGGAGCUUUAAAAAUGGCUACUACUUCUAAGGAAGGCAGCAGGCGCGUAAAUUACCCACUUUUAACAUAAAGAGGUAGUGACGACAAAUAACUCUUUUAAAGCCGUAAGGUUUUAAUUGAAGGAAUGAAUAUAAUGUAAAUAAUUAUAUGAAAGCAAUUGGAGGGCAAGUCUGGUGCCAGCAGCCGCGGUAAUUCCAGCUCCAAUAGUAUAUAUUAAAGUUGUUGUGAUUAAAACGCUCGUAGUUGAAUGAUAUAGUAUUAUUUUUCUUUAAAAGAUUAAUGAAAAUAUAAUCAUUAAUUGAUUAAAGAAUAACAAUAAUAAUACAGAAGGAAUUUUUAAAAUAGAAAUAUUUUAAAAAAUUACUUUGAAUAAAAUAGAGUGUUUAAAGCAAAACAUUUUUAGUUAAUGAAUAAUGAAGCAUGGGACAAUAAUAAGGAGAUUCAGCAAUGAAUUUCGAGAAAAAGAUUAAAAGGAAUAAUUGGGGUAAUUUAGAAGAAGAUGGGAGAGGUGAAAAUCCAUGAUCAUCUUUAGAUAAACUAGAGCGAAAGCAUUUUACUCAAUUAUAUUCAUUAAUCAAGAACGAAAGUUAGGGGAUCGAAGACGAUCAGAUACCGUCGUAGUCCUAACUAUAAACGAUGUUAACCAAGGAUUGGAUAAAAUUUAAAAAUUGAAUUAAAUUUAAAUGAUUAACUUGUUAAUUGUUUAAAUUUAAUUUAAUAAUAUAAUCACUUUAUUCAGAACUUGAAGAGAAAUCUAUGAGUUUAUGAACUUCAGGGGGAGUAUGGUCACAAGGCUGAAACUUAAAGGAAUUGACGGAAGGGCACACCAGGAGUGGAGCCUGCGGCUUAAUUUGACUCAACACGGGAAAACUUACCAAGACCGAACAUAAUAAGGAAUGACAGAUUAAAGGUUCUUUCAUGAUUUUAUGGGGAGUGGUGCAUGGCCGUUCUUAGUUGGUGGAAUGAUUUGUCAGGUUAAUUCCGGUAACGAACGAGACUUAAACCUAUUAAUUAGUUGAAUACCUAAAAGAUAUUCAUGUAGUAAUACAAUUAUUAUUUUAUAAUAAUACUACUUAAAGGGACACAUAUCAAUCUCUUUAAUAUAAUUUAAUUAAUAAUUAAAUAAUUUCGUAAGGAAUUAAAUUAAUUAUAUAAAUUAUAUAAAAGAAAAGAUAAAGGAAGCUUUAAGCAAUAACAGGUCUGUGAUGCCCUUAGACAUCUUGGGCUGCACGCGCGCUACAAUGGAAAUACUAAAGAGUAGUAAUUUAGAUAUUGGAAAUAAUAAAUAUUUAUACUUGUAUAAAUAUUUAUUAUUAGAAAAUAUUUUAACUAAUCUGAAAAGAUAAGUAAAACUCAAAUUAUUAAACUUGACAGGGAUUAAUGAUUGAAAUUAUUUGUUAUGAACGAGGAAUUCCUUGUAAAAUUGCGUCAUUAACACAAGUUGAAUACGUCCCUGCCCUUUGUACACACCGCCCGUCGCUCCUACCGAUUGAAUAAAGAGGUGAAAUUCUAGGAUUUAUUAUAGUAAUAUAAUGAAAAAUGGAUGUAAACCCCCUUAUUUAGAGGAAGGAGAAGUCGUAACAAGGUUUCCGUAGGUGAACCUGCGGAAGGAUCA